rnacentral:misc_RNA from 1 species
UCCGUGUUAACCACGGCAGUCUCCCUAGAGAGCCCAACUUAAUGCUGGCAACUAAGGACAAGGGUUGCGCUCGUUGCGGGACUUAACCCAACAUGUCACCACACGAGCUGACGACAGCCAUGCAGCACCUGUCACCCUGCGGUAUUGCUACCGAGACCGUAUUUCUACGGCUGUCAGGGGAUGUCAAACCCAGGUAAGGUUCUGCGCGUUGCUUCGAAUUAAACCACAUGAUCCACCGCUUGUGCGGGCCCCCGUCAAUUCCUUUGAGUUUUAGUCUUGCGACCGUACUCCCCAGGCGGGGUACUUAUUGCGUUAGCGCCGGCUCGGCAGGGGUCAAUACCCACCUAACCUAGUACCCAUCGUUUACGGCGUGGACUAC